CAGGGUGUCUCAACAGCAAGAGAAGUGUAUGAAGUCUUAAGUCACCGUGGAUGGCUAGAGUUGUUUCCACUUUUUGCAACAGUGCAUGAGAUCUGUAUUGGACGUCUUCCACCAUCAGCCAUAGUUGAAUAUAGCGAGCACAAACCGAACUUUGCCUUGGUAGAGGGCUCAGCUCAAUAUUAUUGACUUUUCCUGAGGAUGAAACUAAUAUAUUUGACAUAUAUCUGUUAUAAAAUUUAGUGGAGCCUUUCCAUAUUUGUGCAUCAUGCACAAAUGAGGAGGCUGGGUAGAAUUUUAGAGUUUGGUUUUCCGCUUCACGAUAAGUUUGGUUCCAAGACAGCAAGACAGUUCACAAGGCUGAACUACAGCUUAUUAGGA
rnacentral:misc_RNA from 1 species